AUGCUAAGUUUCACUCUCAGUUCCCGCAAAUUGCCCAUGAUUAGCUUUGUUUUGGACUUGACUUUUUUUUUUCUCUUUGAGAAAUAUUCUACCUUGGUGAAUACUUGCAUAAUGAGAUUUUGGUUUUUGAUUAUUAUUUACGGACUAGUUUAUGUUGUAUGGUUAUUGUAUCGAGCAUUACCACCGAGCAAAGGCCUGAGUUUUGAGGUGUGGUUCAGAUAA